rnacentral:rRNA from 1 species
ACGUAGGGAGCAAGCGUUGUCCGGAAUUACUGGGCGUAAAGGGUGCGUAGGCGGCAAGGCAAGUCAGAUGUGAAAUCCCCGGGCUUAACUCGGGGGGUGCAUUUGAAACUGCUUUGCUUGAGUGCAGGAGAGGAAAGCGGAAUUCCUAGUGUAGCGGUGAAAUGCGUAGAUAUUAGGAGGAACACCAGUGGCGAAGGCGGCUUUCUGGACUGCAACUGACGCUGAGGCACGAAAGCGUGGGGAGCAAACAG